UUCUGUAAAACGGAAUUAAAGGUGUCAGAUGCGCCCAUCUUUUGGGGUGGUUAUGGUCAAAAUUGGGUGAAGUGCUAUAAAAAUGAGUAUUUGGGUUGCUAUAAGGAAGUGCCACUUGUAUUAGUCACUAGUGCCAUUAGACAAUUCAGUCAUUAGCGUCCCUUGUUUGCCUUUGUGUGACCCUAGGCAUUUCCCUCCUCCCUUGUACCUUGGUGCAUAGCAACAGGUGUUUCCAGCUCAGAAGAAAAGGAUGAUUCGCUGGAGUAGACCGACUCCAGAAGCCCGCAGGGUUUCUGGGUGGUUCCCGGGUCCUCCACAGACUAAACUAGAAGCUCCCUGCUUGUUGAUAUGGGCAGGCAUCAGAAGUUACUCAAAGGAGCGAACAGCCCUUCAUGCCAAGCGUCAGCUACCAUGUACAGAAUUUACAUGUAAAAUGAUGGUAAUAGAUCUGGUCUAGAGCUUCAUCCCAGUAUGACACCCGCGGUCUAAAUAGGUGAAGCCAGGUGCUUCAGAUCCCGCUGGUAAUAAGUGGAGGAGACAGAAUUCACAACCAGGUCUUCUGACCCUAAAUCCAACAGUUAGC